UACGUAGGGGCCUAGCGUUGUCCGGAUUUAUUGGGCGUAAAGAGCUCGUAGGCGGUUCGGUAAGUCAGGUGUGAAAUCUCCACGCUCAACGUGGAGGCGCCACCUGAAACUGCCGUGACUCGAGUCCGGUAGGGGAGUGUGGAAUUCCCGGUGUAGCGGUGAAAUGCGCAGAUAUCAGGAGGAACACCGGUGGCGAAGGCGGGUCUCUGGGUAGUAACUGACGCUGAGGAACGAAAGCGUGGGUAGCGAACAGG
rnacentral:rRNA from 1 species